rnacentral:rRNA from 1 species
CAAUAGCGUAUAUUUAAGUUGUUGCAGUUAAAAAGCUCGUAGUUGGAUUUCGGAUGGGUGCGACCGGUCCGCCGUUUCGGUGUGCACUGGUUGCGUCUAUCUUGCUGUCGGGGACGCGCUCCUGGCCUUAACUGGCUGGGACGCGGAGUCGGCGAAGUUACUUUGAGGAAAUUAGAGUGUUCACGGCAGGCCUUCGCCUUGAAUAUAUUAGCAUGGAAUAAUAAUAUAGGAUCUUGGUUCUAUUUUGUUGGUUUUCUAGAGCUAGGAUAAUGAUUAAUAGGGACAAUUGGGGGCAUUCGUAUUAACGCGUCAGAGGUGGAAUUCUUGGAUUGCGUUACGACGAACUACUGCGAAAGCAUUUGCCAAGGAUGUUUUCAUUGAUCAAGAACGAAAGUAAGGGGAGUCGAAGACGAUCAGAUACCGU